rnacentral:rRNA from 1 species
GACGAACGCUGGCGGCGUGCUUAACACAUGCAAGUCGAACGGAAAGGCCCUGCUUUUGUGGGGUGCUCGAGUGGCGAACGGGUGAGUAACACGUGAGUAACCUGCCCUUGACUUUGGGAUAACUUCAGGAAACUGGGGCUAAUACCGGAUAGGAGCUCCUGCUGCAUGGUGGGGGUUGGAAAGUUUCGGCGGUUGGGGAUGGACUCGCGGCUUAUCAGCUUGUUGGUGGGGUAGUGGCUUACCAAGGCUUUGACGGGUAGCCGGCCUGAGAGGGUGACCGGCCACAUUGGGACUGAGAUACGGCCCAGACUCCUACGGGAGGCAGCAGUGGGGAAUAUUGCACAAUGGGCGGAAGCCUGAUGCAGCAACGCCGCGUGCGGGAUGACGGCCUUCGGGCUGUAAACCGCUUUCGCCUGUGACGAAGCGUGAGUGACGGUAAUGGGUAAAGAGGCACCGGCUAACUACGUG